GACGAACGCUGGCGGCGUGCUUAACACAUGCAAGUCGAACGCUGAAGCUUGGUGCUUGCACUGGGUGGAUGAGUGGCGAACGGGUGAGUAAUACGUGAGUAACCUGCCCUUGACUCUGAGAUAAGCCUGGGAAACUGGGUCUAAUACUGGAUACGACAUGUCACCGCAUGGUGGUGUGUGGAAAGGGUUUUACUGGUUUUGGAUGGGCUCACGGCCUAUCAGCUUGUUGGUGGGGUAAUGGCUCACCAAGGCGACGACGGGUAGCCGGCCUGAGAGGGUGACCGGCCACACUGGGACUGAGACACGGCCCAGACUCCUACGGGAGGCAGCAGUGGGGAAUAUUGCACAAUGGGCGGAAGCCUGAUGCAGCGACGCCGCGUGAGGGAUGACGGCCUUCGGGUUGUAAACCUCUUUCAGCACGGAAGAAGCGAAAGUGACGGUACGUGCAGAAGAAGCGCCGGCUAACUACGUG
rnacentral:rRNA from 1 species